UAACAUCAAGAAAACACAGUUAUGUGCGGGGUUAUCUGAUUAAAGUUCGUUUAUUCCUGACCCUCCAGAGGAGGAAGAUGAUAUUGAUGUGAUGAUGAUAAUGAUGAUGCGUUCCAUUUUUAAGUCUUCUUCCAAGCUGCUGACCACGUACUUCAGCAACCUGUGCAAAGAUAUAAAGAAUCUGUACCACUGGAACCUCAGCUUGAUAUUGAGAAUGUUGGCAUCACCAGAGAUAAUCUCACAGUCAAUGUCUUGUGAUGGACUGUGAUGCCCUCUACACUGCUCGUAUAUUUGCCACAUUACCUCUGAAGAUGUCUCCCACAGUCAGAGAGGAAACAUUAGGAAAAAGUUUUGUAUGUCAACCACAGCCUAUCAGGCUGGAAGUUUUAAAUGAGGCCACACCACAUGCCAUGUUUUACUAGGACAAUACACAACCACAUUCAACAAGGAAUAUGUAAGCUAGUUUUGAAGAAUAAAGGCAACCACAGCUUCCAAGAUGGCAUCAAGUGUAGUGAUGUAUAGCAACCAGAUGAAUAUGAGUUGCAGUUCUGCAGUGAAAAAAAGGAAAUUGUGAAAGUUGUGAAAGUGGAGAAAAAGAACACAUUUCAACUUUACAAAAAAUUGUGGACAUUGUAAGGUGUGAUAUUUUGCAACUACCAAAUAAAAAUUCUGAGGUGAGGAAGCUGCACCAUAUUCCAAACAACAAAUCGAGUUGUGUCAAAGCAAGCUGCGAUACUUGUACUUCCCUCUUGUUUUUCCAGCUGCCUCUUUUUUCAUUUUUGA